UACGUAGGGGGCGAGCGUUGUCCGGAAUUAUUGGGCGUAAAGAGCGUGUAGGCGGUUCGGUAAGUCUGCCGUGAAAACCUGGGGCUCAACCCCAGGCGUGCGGUGGAUACUGCCGGGCUAGAGGGUGGUAGAGGCGAGUGGAAUUCCUGGUGUAGCGGUGGAAUGCGCAGAUAUCAGGAGGAACACCAAUAGCGAAGGCAGCUCGCUGGGACGGUACUGACGCUGAGGCGCGAAAGCGUGGGGAGCGAACAGG
rnacentral:rRNA from 1 species